AGGCUGAUGAUGAUUGAUCUUCGUGAUCUUAGCGGAUUUCAGUGAGACUUCGCGUCGCUGAUCUGAAUCUUUGUUGUUACACACACUGAAUCCU